rnacentral:tRNA from 1 species
UAGCCGGGUAGCUCAAUUGGCAGAGCACCCGACCGAUAAUCGGGUGGUUGAAGGUUCAAGUCCUUCUCUGGCUACCAG